rnacentral:rRNA from 1 species
UACGUAAGGUGCGAGCGUUGUCCGGAAUUAUUGGGCGUAAAGAGCUCGUAGGCGGUCCGUCGCGUCGAAUGUGAAAACCCGGGGCUCAACUCCGGGCUUGCAUUCGAUACGGGCGGACUAGAGUUCGGUAGGGGAGACUGGAAUUCCUGGUGUAGCGGUGAAAUGCGCAGAUAUCAGGAGGAACACCGGUGGCGAAGGCGGGUCUCUGGGCCGAUACUGACGCUGAGGAGCGAAAGCGUGGGGAGCAAACAGG